CACACACAAGGCAGAGAGCGAUGGAUCAGGAGGUCUUCCUCACUUCUGACACUAAAAUGGAACAUCUCAUUGCCUGAGGCUUUCAUGCCUUUUUCACCCCGUUCUCCCAAUAGCCUGAGUCCAGCUCCUAUUCAGAUGUCCUCAAUCUCUGUCCUGAACCUGCAACACUCUCUCCCUGGGCUCUCUACACUCCUGUCCCUCCUGCCCAGACUCACAGGGACUCACACUCUGUCGAGAAGGCCAGUGGAAAGUUUAAGCCCUCCUGGAUGUAGACCUUCCUCCAC
rnacentral:lncRNA from 1 species